GAUGAACGCUAGCGGCAGGCUUAACACAUGCAAGUCGAGGGGCAGCACGUCUUCGGAUGGUGGCGACCGGCGCACGGGUGCGUAACGCGUAUACAACCUACCUUAUAGAGGGGAAUAGCCCAGAGAAAUUUGGAUUAAUGCCCCAUAGUAUUAUUGAAUAGCAUUAUUUGAUGAUUAAACAUUUAUGGCUAUAAGAUGGGUAUGCGUUCUAUUAGCUAGAUGGUAAGGUAACGGCUUACCAUGGCAACGAUAGAUAGGGGUCCUGAGAGGGAGAUCCCCCACGCUGGUACUGAGACACGGACCAGACUCCUACGGGAGGCAGCAGUGAGGAAUAUUGGACAAUGGGCGAGAGCCUGAUCCAGCCAUGCCGCGUGCAGGAAGACGGCCCUAUGGGUUGUAAACUGCUUUUAUACGGGAAGAAACACUCCUUCGUGAAGGAGCUUGACGGUACCGUAAGAAUAAGGAUCGGCUAACUCCGUGCCAGCAGCCGAC
rnacentral:rRNA from 1 species